rnacentral:rRNA from 1 species
UCUUUUGAAUUAAUUUAAGAUCAGGCCUGCCCAUUGAUUUUAUAAUUAAAAGGCUGCGGUAUUUUAACUGUACGAAGGUAGCAUAAUCACUUGUCUUUUAAUUGAAGGCUAGAAUGAAUGGUUUGAUGAAAGAUAAGCUUUCUUUAUUUUAAUUAAAUUGAAUUUAAUUUUUUAGUUAAAAAGCUAAAAUUUUUUUAUAGGACGAGAAGACCCUAUAGAAGUUGACUUUAUUUAAAAUUUUUUAUUUUUAGUUUUUAAAAUAAUUUCUUUGACUAUAAAGUUUUGUUGGGGUGACAUUAAAAUUUAUUUAACUUUUAUUUUUAAUAUUCAUUAAUUUAUGUUUUUUUGAUCCUUUAUUUAUUGAUUAAAAGUUUAACUUACCUUAGGGAUAACAGCGUAAUUUUUUCGGAGAGAUCUUAUU